rnacentral:lncRNA from 1 species
UUCAUAUUUCUUCCUGAUGUCAAGAAACCAACUGAAAACUUAUAAACCAGCAAAAAAUUUGUUUCGUGCAAAAAAUUGCAGUCUGGUCAAAUAGAGAAGAAAAGGAGACGCUAGAACACGAAAGAGAAAGUUCUUUUCUCAUUGCAAGAUGGCAUUUGUUGAGUUAAGAAUUCAUUUAUCUGUGUACAGAUAAUUCUUUGCC